rnacentral:tRNA from 1 species
GCUGGGGUCUGGCUCAGUGGCAGAGCACUUGCCUCACACAUGUGAAGCACUGAGUUCAAUCCUCAGCACCAGCU